UCCACAGUGGCUCAGUGGUAAAGAAUCUGCCUGCAAUGCAGGAGCUGCAGGUUUGAUCCCUGUGUUGGGAA
rnacentral:tRNA from 1 species